UUUCCAUUCCUGAAUUACUUUGCUUAGAAUAAUCAUCUCCAAUCCCAUCCAGGUUGCUCCAAAUGCCACUAAUUAAUUCCUUUUCAUGGCAGAGUAGUAUUCCAUCAUAUAUAUAUAUAUAUAUACACACACAUAUAUAUAUAUAUAUAUAUAUAUAUGUAUAUCACAGUUUCUUUAUCCACCUGUUGAUUGAUGGGCAUGUGGGUUGGUUCCACAUUUUUGCAAUUAUGAAUUGUGCUGCUAUAAAUAUGCGCGUGCAAGUAUCUUUUUCGUACAAUGACUUCUUUUCCUCUGGGUAGAUACCCAGUAGUGGGAUUGCUGGAUCAAAUGGUAGUUGUACUUUUAGUUCUUUAAGGAAUCUCCCGGUUUUCCAUAGUGGUUGUACUAGUUUACAUUCCCAUCAGCAGUGUAGAAGUGUUCUCUUUUUACUGCAUCCACACUAACAUCUAUUAUUUUUCGGUUUUUUAAUUAUGACCAUUCUUGCAGGAGUGAGGUGGCAUCACAUUGUGGUUUUGAUUUGCAUUUCCUUGAUCAUUAGUGAUAUUGAGCAUUUUUUCAUGUUUGUUGGCCAUUUCUAUGUCUUCUUUUGAGAAUUGUCUAUUUAUGUCCUUAGUUUUUUUCUUUUUUCUUUUUUUUUUUUGAGACGGAGUCUCGUUCUUUUGCCCAGGCUAGGGUGCAAUGGUGCAAUCUCGGCUCACUGCGACCUCUGCCUCCCAGGUUCAAGUGAUUCUUGUGCCUCAGCUUCCUGAGUAGCUGAGAUUACAGGUGCCUGCCACCACGCCUGGCUAAUUUUUGUAUUUUUUCAUAGAGACAGGGUUUCACCAUGUUGGCCAGGCUGGUCUUGAACUACUGACCUCAUGAUCCACCUGCCUCAGCAUCCCAAAGUGCUGGGAUUAUAGGCGUGAGCCACCGUGACCGGCCAUCUCCUUCCUCCUUCACCACAAUCACCAAAUCAGCCCCUAGGUGUUUUUGGUAUUCAGAUUUCAUUUAAAGAAAAAGUUUUGAUGGCAACAAAUUGUGCAAACUUCUCUACACACUCCACACUCAACACACACACAUUGACUGAUGACAUUCAUUUUGUUGUGUGCUGUCUUUUAUUCUUCUCAUAUUCCAGAAGCUCUGUGUUAAGGUAGUUUACAGGCAUGUCACUAAGUCCCUAGCUCUGCUGCUCUGAGACCAUCUUAAUAGUCGGGAGUACUGUUUGAACAUUAUUAUAAAGUACCUACUAUAACCUUGAACUCCUGGUCUCAGGUGAUCCUCCCUUCUCAGCCUCCCAAGUAACUGGGAUGACAGGAAUGUGCCACUACACCUGGCUAAUUAAAAUUUUUUUUUUUUUUUGUAGAGACAGGGUUUUGGUAUGUUGCUCAGGCUGGUCUCGAACUCCUGGCAUCAAGUGAUCCUCCCACCUCAGCCUCCCAAAGUGUUGGGAUUACAGGCAUAAGCCACUAUGCCCAGCCUAGAAGUAUUUUAUAGGAUGAAGAAAAGAGUCGUAAGACAACUAUUCAUCUAAGACACAGAUGUUCUCAAUACAGGAUCUAGUAAAUCACUACUUCAUUUUUGCCAUUAGAAAGUAGAUGUAACUAUUGUGAUAUCAUGCCUGUUUGCUAGCACCUUUCUGAAAGUGCACUAAGCCACAGAGGAGGAAAGCAGGGGGCAUCUCAUUUACACGGAUACAAACAUUCCAUUGCCUUCUUUUAUUGCUCAAUACUUUAUUCCCACUGAUGAUAUCAAUCACGUUGUUGUGUUUAGUUGUGUAUACUUCUGUUAGAGUUCCUUGAGAGUCAGGCCUGUGCAUUAUUUAUCUUUGCAGCCCAAGUACCUGGCAUAUGCUUAGCACACAAUAAAAUAAUAAUUCAAUGGGAACUGAAUAUAUGAGGUUAGACUUCACAAGUCACUUGCCCUACCAGUUACUGUAUGUUUAAUUAUUCAGUCAACAAGUAUGUGAGAGCUUUCUAUGUGUGAGGUACUACACUAUGCACUGGUCAUAUAACUUCUGAAUGGGCUGUAAUUCAGCAAAGAGCCAAGCCUAGUAUGAUUCAGCAGGAACUACCAGCCUCUUAGUGGAAAGGGCUUCUUGGGGAAUAUGUACUUUUCUCUCUUCUAAAGAGUAACUUAUGGGGCCCAAAACUUUCUCUCCUUUCAUUCUAGGGCUAGGAAAGAAAGGGUAGAAGGCACAUGACAUACUUAGGUCCCACCCUCAUCACACUCAACAGAAUAUCAUACUAAGAAUCAAAUAAUAAACUUUAAUUUGAAUAUAAUACAGUAGAAUAUAAUAAUUAUUUUGAGGUACAAAAA
rnacentral:lncRNA from 1 species